rnacentral:tRNA from 1 species
GCCUCAUUGGCUCCGCGGCAGAGCGUCUGUCUUGUAAAUGGAAGGCUUUUUAAAUAGAAGGUGGCUGAUUCGAUUCCAGCAUGAAGCA